GGUUAAGGAAGGUGAGGGCACGUGCAGGGAUGGGAGGAGGCUGGCGGCAGGGCUGUUGGUUGGCUGGGGGGGUUGGGAAAGAAGAACGAGUAGUAAUAUUAUUAAGGGUUGAGGUCCAUAUUGUUAAACCUUUCGGGCUCCCAUUACGACUAUUUCCCGUUCAAGAUGGAAAAGUCAUGUAAAACUAUCACUAGCAUCACAAAACAAUCCAUAGAAAAUCCCAGCAUCUUAUACGAGAGGAAUUUCAAACAGGCGAACUGAGGUGCUGUUACGUUAAGGGAAUACGGGGUUGAGCUUUCAUAGAUUGGUGCGUGAGGUGGUUAGGUGUUGGAGUUACGAAAGAGCGAGUGGUUGAGGGUUGAGCUUUGGUAGAUAAGUGACGUGAGGUGGCUGGGUGCUGGGGAUAGGAAAGGACGAGUGGUUGAGGGUUGAGCUUUGGUAGAUAAGUGACGUGAGGUGGUUGGGUGCUGGGGAUAGGAAAGGACGAGUGGUUGAGGGUUGAGCUUUGGUAGAUAAGUGACGUGAGGUGGCUAUGUGCUGGGGUUAAGAAAGGACGAGUGGUUGAGGGCUGAGCUUUGGUAGAUAAGUGACGUGAGGUGGUUGGGUGCUGGGGAUAGGAAAGGACGAGUGGUUGAGGGUUGAGCUUUGGUAGAUUAGUGACGUGAGGUGGUUGGGUGCUGGGGAUAGGAAAGGACGAGUGGUUGAGGGUUGAGCUUUGGUAGAUAAGUGACGUGAGGUGGCUAGGCGAUGGGGUUAGGAAAGAACGUGUAGAAAGGAGAGAUUUCGAAGUUCGGUUAGGUGGAGGGAUGGAAGGGAGAAGGAAAGAAGAAUGGGUGGAAAGUGGGCCAGGUAAUAUAAGAUUAGGUUACGAAGAAGGGGAGGGUAGAAAUGGCUGAGGUAAGGAAAGUUUAGGUAAAGGGGAAGUUAGGUUAGGAUAGGUGAGGAAGACGAAAGCUAAGGUUAGGUAAGGCAAAGUUAGAUAAGGAUUAAGGAAAUGUGGAGUAUUGAUUGUGAGAUUGGGGUAGGUUAGGAAACGUUAUGAUAUGAGGUAAGGGUAGGUUAGGGUAGAGUACAUAGAGUCAGCAGAAUAGGAUGGAAGAAGGUCAACAGGUAUUUUUAAAGGUAAAGGUAAAGUUGGGGAAAGUUUAAGGAAAUGUGGAGUGUUGAUAGUGAGAUUGGGAUAGGUUAGGAAAAUUUAUGAUAUGAGGUGAGGUUAGGUUAGGGUAGAGAGUGUCAGAAUAGGGUGGAAGAAGGUCAACAGGUAUUUUUAAAGGUAAAGGUAAAGAAGGGAAAGGUUUAAGGAAAUUUAGAGUGUUGGUGAGAUUUGGAUAGGUAAGGAAAAAGUAAUGAUAUGAGAUAAGGGUAGGUUAUUUUUUAUUUAUUUAUUUAUUUAUUUUUACAACAAAGGAGACGGCUCAAGGGGCAACAAACAGAGUGUAGAAAAAAAAAGCCCGCUACUCACCGCUCCCACAACAGACCAAAAUAAAGAGCGGCCUAAAGAGAGGUCAAUUUCGGGUGGAGAGGUGUCUUGGUUAGAGGUCAGAGUACAUGUAGAGUAAGAAUAGAGUGGAUGAGGGUUAACGGGUUUUUAAAAGGUAAAGUUGGGAGCAUACACUAUUAGCUGCGCGUGGCGGCGGUGCUCAUCUCCGUACCAAAAGCCCUUGAAGCUGGGGUGGGUGAGGAGA